rnacentral:rRNA from 1 species
GAUGAACGCUGGCGGCAGGCCUAACACAUGCAAGUCGAGCGGCAGCGGGACCUUCGGGUUGCCGGCGAGCGGCGGACGGGUGAGUAAUGCCUAGGAAUCUGCCUGUUAGUGGGGGAUAACGCGGGGAAACUCGCGCUAAUACCGCAUACGUCCUACGGGAGAAAGCGGGGGCUCUUCGGACCUCGCGCUAACAGAUGAGCCUAGGUCGGAUUAGCUAGUUGGUGGGGUAAUGGCCCACCAAGGCGACGAUCCGUAACUGGUCUGAGAGGAUGAUCAGUCACACUGGAACUGAGACACGGUCCAGACUCCUACGGGAGGCAGCAGUGGGGAAUAUUGGACAAUGGGCGAAAGCCUGAUCCAGCCAUGCCGCGUGUGUGAAGAAGGUCUUCGGAUUGUAAAGCACUUUAAGUCGGGAGGAAGGGCUGUAGGCUAAUACCUUGCAGUUUUGACGUUACCGACAGAAUAAGCACCGGCUAACUUCGUGCCAGCCGCCGCGGUAA